GAUGAAGAACGCAGCGAAAUGCGAUAAGUAAUGUGAAUUGCAGAAUUCAGUGAAUCAUCGAAUCUUUGAACGCACAUUGCGCCCCCUGGCAUUCCGGGGGGCAUGCCUGUUCGAGCGUCAUUACAACCCUCAAGCUCUGCUUGGUAUUGGGCUCUGCUGGGACCGGCAGGCCUUAAACUCAGUGGCGGCGCCACUCGGCUUCAAGCGUAGUAAUUCUUCUCGCUUCGGAGACCCGGGUGCGUGCUAGCCAGCAACCCCCAACUUUCUUAGGUUGACCUCGGAUCAGGUAGGGAUACCCGCUGAACUUAAGCAUAUCAAUAAGCGGAGGA
rnacentral:misc_RNA from 1 species